AGUGGGCGUGCAGGAGAAGCUGUAGGUCAGGAGGUAGAGUUGGCAGUGGGCGUGCAGGAGAAGCUGUAGGUCGGAGAGGUAGAGGUGGCAGUGGGCGUGCAGGAGAAGCUGUAGGUCAGGGGGUAGAGGUGGCAGUGGGCGUGCAGGAGAAGCUGUAGGUCAGAGUGGAUAGGUGGCAGUGGGCGUGCAGGAGAAGCUGUAGGUCAGGAGGUAGAGGUGGCAGUGGGCGUGCAGGAGAAGCUGUAGGUCAGGAGGUAGAGGUGGCAGUGGGCGUGCAGGAGAAGCUGUAGGUCAGGAGGUAGAGUUGGCAGUGGGCGUGCAGGAGAAGCUGUAGGUCGGAGAGGUAGAGGUGGCAGUGGGCGUGCAGGAGAAGCUGUAGGUCGGGAGGUAGAGGUGGCAGUGGGCGUGCAGGAGAAGCUGUAGGUCAGAGAGGUAGAGGUGGCAGUGGGCGUGCAGGAGAAGCUGUAGGUCGG
rnacentral:lncRNA from 1 species